rnacentral:hammerhead_ribozyme from 1 species
AUCCAGUUGACGAGUUCAAAAUAGGACGAAACGCGCAUCCUGGAU